rnacentral:rRNA from 1 species
UACAGAGACUGCGAGCGUUAUUCGGAUUCACUGGGCGUAAAGGGUGCGCAGGCGGCCAAGUGUGUGAGGCGUGAAAGCCUGGGGCUUAACUCCAGAAUUGCACCUCAAACUACAUGGCUAGAGCAUUGGAGAGGGUAGCAGAAUUCACGGUGUAGCAGUGAAAUGCGUAGAGAUCGGGAGGAACAUCUGUGGCGAAGGCGGCCACCUGGACCAGCACUGACACUGAGGCACGAAAGCGUGGGGAGCAAACAGG